rnacentral:rRNA from 1 species
UACGAAGGGGGCUAGCGUUGCUCGGAAUCACUGGGCGUAAAGCGCACGUAGGCGGAUUGCUAAGUCAGGGGUGAAAUCCUGGAGCUCAACUCCAGAACUGCCCUUGAUACUGGCGGUCUCGAGUCCGGGAGAGGUGAGUGGAACUGCGAGUGUAGAGGUGAAAUUCGUAGAUAUUCGCAAGAACACCAGUGGCGAAGGUGGCUCACUGGCCCGGUACUGACGCUGAGGUGCGAAAGCGUGGGGAGCAAACAGG